rnacentral:lncRNA from 1 species
UUGGGAAUUGGGUUUAGAGAGAGAAGUAAUUCUCUCUUGGGUUAGAGAAAGUGUUUGGUAUCCUUCCUUGUAUCUUUCCCCAAUUGGGGAUUAAGGUUCUUCAUCAAUAUGCUACUGUUAUUUUUCUGGGUUCUAUCACCAAAUAAAAACACUCAUGCAACACUGCAACAAAGGGUACUCUAUACUAUAAUAUUUCUGAAACCAAGAGUGGCAACUCUCAUAAUUGU